GCCGGGCGUGGUGGCGCAUGCCUGUAAUCCUAGCUACUCAGGAGGCUGAGGCAGGAGAAUCGCUUGAACCCUGGAGGGGGAGGUUGCAGUGAGCUGAGAUUGUGCCACUGUACUCCAGCCUGGGUGACGGAGCGAGAUUCUGUCUUAA
ensembl:misc_RNA Metazoa_SRP Metazoan signal recognition particle RNA